GGCCAGUGAGGACACAUCCAAUUUUGAAGCUGCCAGCACCUCACAUACUUACUAAUUAGUGACAAUUUGUACAUCCUUUGCUAUUAUUUACAUUUUUUUUUAUCAUGGCGGAAAUGAAAGACUGUACCUGGCAGCCCUGCACUACAAUGAAAACGCUGAGCGUACACAAGCCUACAUCCACUGGAAAGCCUCUGUAUAAACUGCAGUUCCCAAAGGCCAGGAAGGGAGAAUGCAGAGCAAAACCAGUAAAGACUGACCCCACAUUCCGCUACGUGGCCAACUUGAUGGACCUCAUCUUCGACCAAGUCUUUGUGGACCCUGCACCAUUAUGAGCGACCUGACAGGGAGGAGGUCAUCGCCGGGUAUGCUAC